GUCUUUUUGAUUUUAAUUUAAAGUCUGGCCUGCCCAAUGAAUAAUUGAAUGGCCGCAGUAUUUUGACUGUGCAAAGGUAGCAUAAUCAUUAGUUUCUUAAUUAGUAACUGGAAUGAAAGGUCGAACGAAAGAAUGACUGUCUCUGUGUAAAUUAGUUAAAAUUUUAUUUUUAAGUUAAAAAGCUUAGAUAUAUUUAAAAGACGAGAAGACCCUAUAGAGUUUUAUUUAAAUUUAUAUAAGAAUUUAUUUAGAAUAUUUGAAGAUUUAUAUAAAUUUGAAUUUAAUUGGGGUGAUUAAAAAAUUUAGUAAACUUUUUUUUUAUUUAAACAUUAUUGUAUGAUUAAUUGAUCCAUUAUUUAUGAUUAUAAGAUUAAAUUACCUUAGGGAUAACAGCGUAAUUUCUUUGUAGAGUUCAAAUCAUUAAAGAAGUUUGCGACCUCGAUGUUGGAUUAAAAUUUAUUUUUGGUGUAGUAGCUAGAAGAUUAGGUCUGUUCGACCUUUAAAAUUUUACAUGAUCUGAGUUUAAACCGGUGUGAGCCAGGUUGGUUUCUAUCUUUAAAUUAUUUAGAUAUUUUAGUACGAAAGGACCAAAUAUAUUAAAAAUUUUAUUUAAUAUGAAUAUUAUUAAUUUAA
rnacentral:rRNA from 1 species